GACGUAGGGCGCGAGCGUUGUCCGGAUUUAUUGGGCGUAAAGAGCUCGUAGGCGGUUCGUCGCGUCGGCUGUGAAAUCCCGAGGCUCAACCUCGGGUCUGCAGUCGAUACGGGCGGACUGGAGUUCGGCAGGGGAGACUGGAAUUCCUGGUGUAGCGGUGAAAUGCGCAGAUAUCAGGAGGAACACCGGUGGCGAAGGCGGGUCUCUGGGCCGUAACUGACGCUGAGGAGCGAAAGCAUGGGGAGCGAACAGG
rnacentral:rRNA from 1 species